rnacentral:rRNA from 1 species
AGAAUGAACGUUGGCGGCGUGGAUUAGGCAUGCAAGUCGCGCGAGAAAUUUCCUUCGGGAGAUGGACAGCGGCGGAAGGGAGAGGAAUAAGUAGAAAUCUGCCCUCGGGACGGGGAUAGCGGCGGGAAACUGCCAGUAAUACCCGAUAACAUCUUUGGAUCAAAUGUGUGAUUCCGCCUGGGGAUGAGUCUACUUCCUAUUAGCUAGUUGGCGGGGUAAUGGCCCACCAAGGCAACGAUGGGUAGCGGGUGUGAGAGCACGAUCCGCCUCACUGGGACUGAGACACUCGCCCAGACACCGUACGGGUGGCUGCAGUCGAGUAACUCUUCGGACAAGUGGGGGAAACCCUGGACCGAGCCGACGGCCGCGUGGCGGGAUGAAGGCCGUUGGUCGUAAACCGC